GACUCUCAGCAACGGAUAUCUCGGCUCUCGCAUCAAUGAAGAAUGUAGCAAAAUGCGAUACCUGGUGUGAAUUGCAGAAUCCCGCGAACCAUCGAGUUUUUGAACGCAACUUGCCCUCGAUAUUCUGGAGCGGGCUGGGAUGACUGAUUGCAAGCCC